rnacentral:rRNA from 1 species
CCUACGGGUGGCAGCAGUGGGGAAUAUUGCACAAUGGGGGAAACCCUGAUGCAGCGACGCCGCGUGCGUGAAGAAGUAUUUCGUAAUGUAAAGCUCUAUCAGCAGGGAAGAAAAUGACGGUACCUGAGUAAGCAGCCCCGGCUAACUACGUGCCAGCAGCCGCGGUAAUACGUAGGGGGCAAGCGUUAUCCGGAUGUACUGGGUGGAAAGGGAGCGUAGACGGCAGUGCAAGUCUGGAGGGAAAGGCCGGGGUUCAACCCCCGGACUGCUCUGGAUACUGUACGGCUGGAGAGCAGGAGAGGUAAGCGGAAUUCCUAGUGUAGCGGUGAAAUGCGUAGAUAUUAGGAGGAACACCAGUGGCGAAGGCGGCUUACUGGACUGUAACUGACGUUGAGGCUCGAAAGCGUGGGGAGCAAACAGGAUUAGAUACCCUAGUAGUC